CCUACGGGUGGCAGCAGUGGGGGAUAUUGCACAAUGGGGGAAACCCUGAUGCAGCGACGCCGCGUGAGUGAAGAAGUACUUCGUUAUGUAAAGCUCUAUCAGCAGGGAAGAAAAUGACGGUUCCUGAGUAAGAAACCCCGGCUAACUACGUGCCAGCCGCCGCGGUUAUACGUAGGGGGCAAGCGUUCUCCGGAUUUAAUGGGUGGAAAGGGAGCGUAGACGGCAGUGCAAGUCAGGAGUGAAAGGCGGGGGCUCAACCCCCGGACUGCUCUGGAAACUGUACGGCUGGAGUGCAGGAGAGGCAGGUGGAAUUCCUAGUGGAGCGGUGAAAUGCGUAGAUAUUAGGAGGAACACCAGUGGCGAAGGCGGCUUACUGGACUGUAACUGACGUUGAGGCUCGAAAGCGUGGGGAGCAAACAGGAUUAGAUACCCUUGUAGUC
rnacentral:rRNA from 1 species